rnacentral:rRNA from 1 species
UGGACCAGCCUCGGCUUACACAUGCAAGUCGAGGGGCAGCAUCAUCAAAGCUUGCUUUGAUGGAUGGCGACCGGCGCACGGGUGAGUAACACGUAUCCAACCUGCCGACAACACUGGGAUAGCCUUUCGAAAGAAAGAUUAAUACCGGAUGGCAUAAUUAUUCCGCAUGGGAUAAUUAUUAAAGAAUUUCGGUUGUCGAUGGGGAUGCGUUCCAUUAGGCAGUUGGCGGGGUAACGGCCCACCAAACCUACGAUGGAUAGGGGUUCUGAGAGGAAGGUCCCCCACAUUGGAACUGAGACACGGUCCAAACUCCUACGGGAGGCAGCAGUGAGGAAUAUUGGUCAAUGGACGAGAGUCUGAACCAGCCAAGUAGCGUGAAGGAUGACUGCCCUAUGGGUUGUAAACUUCUUUUAUACGGGAAUAAAGUGAGCCACGUGUGGCUUUUUGUAUGUACCGUAUGAAUAAGGAUCGGCUAACUCCGUGCCAGCAGCCGCGGUAAUACGGAGGAUCCGAGCGUUAUCCGGAUUUAUUGGGUUUAAAGGGAGCGUAGGCGGGUUGUUAAGUCAGUUGUGAAAGUUUGCGGCUCAACCGUAAAAUUGCAGUUGAUACUGGCGACCUUGAGUGCAACAGAGGUAGGCGGAAUUCGUGGUGUAGCGGUGAAAUGCUUAGAUAUCACGAAGAACUCCGAUUGCGAAGGCAGCUUACUGGAUUGUAACUGACGCUGAUGCUCGAAAGUGUGGGUAUCAAACAGGAUUAGAUACCCUGGUAGUCCACACAGUAAACGAUGAAUACUCGCUGUUGGCGAUAUACAGUCAGCGGCCAAGCGAAAGCAUUAAGUAUUCCACCUGGGGAGUACGCCGGCAACGGUGAAACUCAAAGGAAUUGACGGGGGCCCGCACAAGCGGAGGAACAUGUGGUUUAAUUCGAUGAUACGCGAGGAACCUUACCCGGGCUUAAAUUGCAACUGACGGAACCGGAAACGGUUCUUUCUUCGGACAGUUGUGAAGGUGCUGCAUGGUUGUCGUCAGCUCGUGCCGUGAGGUGUCGGCUUAAGUGCCAUAACGAGCGCAACCCUUACGGGUAGUUACCAUCAGGUUAUGCUGGGGACUCUACCCGGACUGCCGUCGUAAGAUGUGAGGAAGGUGGGGAUGACGUCAAAUCAGCACGGCCCUUACGUCCGGGGCUACACACGUGUUACAAUGGGGGGUACAGAAGGCAGCUACACGGCGACGUGGUGCUAAUCCCAAAAACCUCUCUCAGUUCGGAUUGGAGUCUGCAACCCGACUCCAUGAAGCUGGAUUCGCUAGUAAUCGCGCAUCAGCCACGGCGCGGUGAAUACGUUCCCGGGCCUUGUACACACCGCCCGUCAAGCCAUGAAAGCCGGGGGUACCUGAAGUACGUAACCGCGAGGAGCGUCCUAGGGGAAAAGCCGGG